AAAAUGCGAUAAGUAAUGUGAAUUGCAGAAUUCAGUGAAUCAUCGAAUCUUUGAACGCACAUUGCACCCGCCAGUAUUCUGGCGGGCAUGCCUGUUCGAGCGUCAUUUCAACCCUCAAGCCCCCGGGUUUGGUGUUGGGGAUCGUGCUGCGGUUCUACCGCGUCCCGGCCCCGAAAUCUAGUGGCGGUCUCGCUGCAGCCUCCAUUGCGUAGUAGCUAACACCUCGCAACUGGAACGCGGCGCGGCCAAGCCGUUAAACCCCCAACUUCUGAAUGUUGACCUCGGAUCAGGUAGGAAUACCCGCUGAACUUAAGC
rnacentral:misc_RNA from 1 species